rnacentral:tRNA from 1 species
GCGCCCGUAGUUCAGAGGAAGAACAUUGGGCUCCGGACCCAAAGGUCGUGGGUUCAAAUCCCACCGGGCGCG